AAUGGACGUCAAGUCAUCAUGGCCCUUACCGGCCUGGGCUACACACGUGCUACAAUGGCAGGUACAGAGGGCUGCCAAAGCCGGCGAGGUAGACGCGAAAUCCCAGAAAACCUGUCUCAGUCCGGAUUGAAGUCUGCAACUCGACUUCAUGAAGGCGGAAUCGCUAGUAACCGCGAAUCAGCAGGUCGCGGUGAAUACGUUCCCGGGCCUU
rnacentral:rRNA from 1 species